UGCCCGGUGGUGAAGUGGUAUCACACCGCCCUUUGGAGGCGAGAUCCGAGGUUCGAAUCCUCGCCGGGCAGCCG
rnacentral:tRNA from 1 species